rnacentral:rRNA from 1 species
AUUGAACGCUGGCGGCAGGCCUAACACAUGCAAGUCGAACGAGUGGCGGACGGGUGAGUAAUGUAUGGGAAACUGCAUGAUGGAUGGGGUCAACUAAUGGAAACGGUAGCUAAUACCGCAUACCAUCAGAUGUGCCCAGAUGGGAUUUGCUAGGUGGUGGGGUAACGGCUCACAAAGGCGACAAUCCCUAGUUGGGCUGAGAGGAGGACCAGGCACACGGGAACUGAGACACGGUCCAGACGCCUACGGGAGGCAGCAGUGGGGAAUAUUGGACAAUGGGCGCAAGCCUGAUGCAGCCAUGCCGCGUGUGUGAAGAAGGCCUUCGGGUUGUAAAGUACUUUAAGCGGGGAGGCGUUACCCGCAGAAGAAGCACCGGCUAACUCCGUGCCAGCAGCCGCGGUAAUUC